rnacentral:rRNA from 1 species
CCUACGGGUGGCAGCAGUGAGGAAUAUUGGUCAAUGGGCGCUAGCCUGAACCAGCCAAGUAGCGUGAAGGAUGACUGUCCUACGGGUUGUAAACCUCUUUUAUCUGGGAACAAAGUGCACCACGUAUACUGCUUCGCGUGUACCUGAUGAAAAAGCAUCGGCUAACUCCGUGCCAGCAGCCGCGGUAAUACGGAGGUUGCGAGCGUUAUCCGGAUUUAUUGGGUUUAAAGGGAGCGGAGGCGGAUUGGGAAGUCCGUUGUGAAAGUUUGCGGCGUAAACGUAACAUUGCAGUUGAUACUGGUAUCCGAGAGUACAGUAGAGGUAUGCGGAAUUCGUGGUGUAGCGGUGAAAUGCUUAGAUAUCACGAAGAACUCCGAUUGCGAAGGCGGGUUCCUGGAGAUUAACUGACGCUGAGGCACGAAAGCGUGGGUAGCGAACGGGAUUAGAUACCCCAGUAGUC